UGCGGGGUCGUCUAAUGGCAGGACGCCUGACUCUGGAUCAGGUAGUCUAGGUUCGAAUCCUAGCCCCGCAG
rnacentral:tRNA from 1 species